UAUCAACAAUGAUGGUGCUGACUAUCCAGAAGUUGAAGAUAAACCUGAAGAACUAGCAGUUGAAGAAAAACAUGAAGAACAAGCAAUUGAAGAGAAGCCUGAAGAACCAGCAAUUAAGGAAAAAGCUGAUGAACCAGCAGUGCAAGAAAAACUUGAAGAACCAGCUGUGGAAAAGAAACCUGAAGAACCAGUGGCUACGGAGAAACCUGAAGAACCAGCAAUUAAGGAAAAAGCUGAUGAACCAGCAGCGCAGGAGAAACCUGAAGAACCAGCUGUGGGAAAGAAACCUGAAGAACCAGUGGCUACGGAGAAACCUAAAGAACCAGCAAUUAAGGAAAAAGCUGAUGAACCAGCAGUGCAAGAGAAACCUGAAGAACCAGCUGUGGAAAAGAUACCUGAAGAACCAGCAGUC
rnacentral:lncRNA from 1 species